GGGGAAUAUUGCACAAUGGGCGAAAGCCUGAUGCAGCAACGCCGCGUGAGUGAUGAAGGUCUUCGGAUUGUAAAGCUCUGUCUUUUGGGACGAUAAUGACGGUACCAAAGGAGGAAGCCACGGCUAACUACGUGCCAGCAGCCGCGGUAAUACGUAGGUGGCGAGCGUUGUCCGGAUUUACUGGGCGUAAAGGGUGCGUAGGCGGAUGUUUAAGUGAGAUGUGAAAUACCCGGGCUUAACUUGGGUGCUGCAUUUCAAACUGGAUAUCUAGAGUGCAGGAGAGGAGAAUGGAAUUCCUAGUGUAGCGGUGAAAUGCGUAGAGAUUAGGAAGANCACAGUGGCGAAGGCGAUUCUCUGGACUGUAACUGACGCUGAGGCACGAAAAGCGUGGG
rnacentral:rRNA from 1 species